UGUAGAUCUAAAUGUUGAUUUAGUUCAUUGUUAUUUUGUAAGGAUCCCUUUAUCUGUGAUAACGAGGCAUAUUUAAUGACUUGCAAUGAAACAGAUCUUGCCUGGAUUUCACUGCAGCAUGAAAUUUGACUAAAAGAUUCUUCGUGCAUGAAUAUAAGGGUAUGCUGUUUUAAAUGCUGCAUCACAGACUAAGCUGUUCAAUUGUUCUGCUUUAUCCACAUGACUGAAUAUUUAUCAAAGAUAUCGCUCUUUUAGAAAUGUAUUAAGAGGACCAAUAGUGAAUAUCAUUGCAACAUUGGUUUGGAGGUAUUUGAUUACGUCCUUCUCACCCAAUUGUACCUCCAAACCCGGAGAAGGAGUGCUAGCAUGGCCCGUGAAAUCGACUUCACCGUUGGGUGGGAUGCAAAACAACAUCUGCAGCUUUACUCUCCCACGUGGCGGUUGAUUGUUGACUCCGAGGGCUCUGGGUGCAGACAAAAGCACUGGAAGCCCUCGCCGUCACAAGCUUUAGAAAUGACCACCGGCAUGAAUAGAGGUUUGGACUCGCCAGAGCCGGAACAACACAGGCGGCUCAAAAUCCGUAAGCGGCGGCUCCGCUCCUUUCUUGUGUCGCGGUGAGCGGUGAGCCUGCGUGCACAAUACCUGGACCCUAAAUCGAGCCCGUGCAAAUUGGACGGCUUUGAAUGGAGACAAAAGACCUGAAACCCCGGACAAUACAUUGUAAUCAGCAUCAAAAGCUACUGCAUGUCCUGAGAAAUGUGCAUAUUUUUCAACUGAAAUGUUUCCGACACAGUUUGGAUAAAAAGAAAAAGUGAAAUGAAGCCUCGUGGAGGUAUUUCAGACGCAGCCGGAUUUGGAGGAAUCCAAUCAGCAAAGCAAAGCCAACCCGUCUCCCCCACCACGGCUGUACCUAACUCCAGUCACACAGAGUACCUCACUGGUGCCAUUAUGCCUUUUGAUCAUGUAAGGAGAAUAUGAAAUACUUUGACAAAUAAAAAAGAAAUGUGACCGAAAACGAAGAUCUUUGAAGAGUAACUACCUGCUUCCUUCCCAAUCAAAGACAUUCGGAAACAGAUGGAUUGUUUAGUCCAAACAAUCAUUAUUCUUUAUAACUGGAGAUAUCGGCUUACUGUCAUAUCUCCAAUCAAAGAAUCCACAUAGAUUUUAGCCAGGGGAAACACCUUUGAUGGAUCUAAUACUUGGAAAUAAAUAAAGAAGAGGUGACUGACUGAAUGUCUGUCUGUGACAAUAUCACAUACAAAGUAUGUGCAACUGGGAAUGUAACAGAAGUCUAAUCAUGACCAUCUUUUCAACUUCAUAGCCCACCUCUUUGUCCCUGCAGAAAUCAUUUCCAGGCUGCUUCUCCUCUCCCAAUAGCUAACCUUUGUCGCU
ensembl:lncRNA